UGUAGCUUAGUGGUGGAGUGCACAUUACCCAAAUGUGAGGGCCUAGGUUCAAUCCCUGGCA
rnacentral:tRNA from 1 species